UACGUAGGGUGCGAGCGUUAAUCGGAAUUACUGGGCGUAAAGCGUGCGCAGGCGGUUCGUUGUGUCCGGUGUGAAAGCCCCGAGCUUAACUUGGGAAUGGCAUUGGAAACUGGCGAGCUGGAGUGUGGCAGAGGGGGGUGGAAUUCCACGUGUAGCAGUGAAAUGCGUAGAGAUGUGGAGGAACACCGAUGGCGAAGGCAGCCCCCUGGGCCAACACUGACGCUCAGGCACGAAAGCGUGGGGAGCAAACAGG
rnacentral:rRNA from 1 species